rnacentral:rRNA from 1 species
UACGGAGGGUCCAAGCGUUAUCCGGAAUCAUUGGGUUUAAAGGGUCCGUAGGCGGGCCAGUAAGUCAGUGGUGAAAUCUCCCGGCUCAACCGGGAAAUUGCCAUUGAUACUGCUGGCCUUGAAUUACUAGGAAGUAACUAGAAUAUGUAGUGUAGCGGUGAAAUGCUUAGAGAUUACAAUGGAAUACCAAUUGCGAAGGCAGGUUACUACUAGUAUAUUGACGCUGAUGGACGAAAGCGUGGGUAGCGAACAGG